CACAGAAAUAUUUUUAUUCACAUGAUUUAAUAUCUAACAUACAUAAAUAGCAAAGUGCAAACAUGCAAAGUAUUCACCGCAUAAAUAGCCACAUAGACAUAGGCAAACAAAGUGCUCAAUGCAUAAACCCAGAUAGUGUAUCAUCGGGUAUACUAACCCAGAGCUGGAGAUUACGAAGUCCCAAUGUUUCGGCACACAACCUUCCUCAAGGGAAACCCUAGUUGAACGUAUGCUCUAUUUUUGUUUGGAUAUGCAAGUUCUGUAAGAGAAUUUUUCAAAUCAACAUUGUUUAGUGAAUAAACCCAGGUUGUCACUAUUCCAUACCUGGAUGUAACAACGAGGGAUCUCUUGUCUGCAGCUUUUUUACUGGAGCUGUAAGCAUGCCUUCAUACACAAUCCCAGCUUUCCAAUGCUUCUCAAUGAUCUCAUAGAAGGUUUUUUUGUUUGUUUGUUUUUGUGGUGGGACGGGUGGGAGGAGGUUUUCGCCAUGGACAGAAAUUUUAAUCAUAAAUCAAAUUAAACAGUUUAGUCCGUUCGUUGUUUAAUUUGUUUCGGAAUUGAUUCCUAUAGUGUUUCGGAGUUGGCAUUUUGGACAAAUUGUUGAUUUACCUAAAAUUCAAACAAAUUCAAAAUUUGUUUGAAACCAAAUGCACAAGUCUACUUCUGGGUGUAAUCAAUGGCUACUAGGGAAUUGGAAAAUGCAUGCAUUCGCCAUGUAGACUUAAGUUAGUAUUCUGAGGGUUAACCUAAUGUUUUCUGCUAUUGAUUUGACCAAGAUGUAUUUCACUCUCAGUAUCUGGUCUCCUCUACAGUCGAGUAAAUGAUAAUUCACUGUCUACCCACAGAUGUCAGAAAAUGCACAGAUAGGUCACAAGUGAAAGGUUAUUGUCUUUUUACUAUUGCAGAGAAGUCGAAAACAUAGACUAUAUAGGCUUUAUCAUAGUUCGUGGAACUGAAAGAAAAAAUAUUUGGUUUAUGGUCAAACUAUACUCUGUGUGAAAGAAGCAACUUUUCUGUGUAAUACAUGGGGAAUUCUUUCUACUAACCAAAGGGUUUAAAUCCCAUAUGGCAGUAAACCGGUUAGCAGUUUGGGGUUUCUCCUUCACUCUAAACAUUAAAAGAGUGAAAAGGGUCAAGCUUGGUAUCCAGACCACAGACUAAUCCCUUGGCACUAGGUCUUCC